AAUUGUUUAAUAUUUCAUUCUAAUUUAUCUCCUCCUCUCAUUCUCGCUCAAAUAUUUGUUCUCUCUGAAUGAGUUUAGAUUCUUUAAUCCAUCGAGUCACCUUCAUCAUCAUCCUCUGAAUCAUCAUCAUCAUCAAUACCAUCAUCUAAAUCACAAUCAACAUCAUCAAAUGAAUCGAGAGUGAAGGAAUCAUAACAUUUGGUACUACUAUGGAGUUCAUUAAUUCAUUAUUACAUUAAGGUUUAUGUUCAUCUGCAUAAUUUCUCUCACCUAUACGUUCAUAUUCUUCGCUUUACUCUUCUCCAAUCUCUAUAUUCCUCCUAUUUCUAUUCCUUCUUAAUGAAAAAUCAUUUCCACUAAGAAGGGAGGAAAUGUAUCAGAAGUAGAAGCGUCUCAUCAUAAAGACAGGAAGGGACCUCAAAACCAUUAACGAAUAAAACUAGCAAAGCUAAAAGGCGCACUUUACAGGAGGUCACAGGGGUGCCAAAUCUACAUAAAAGGUUCAGACUUUGUCAUUCAUAUGUGUGUGUGUUUGUGAGUUGGGGAAGAGGUUAGUCAUUAGUUUGAAUUGUUGUCAACUAUCAUGCUUAAUGCAAAUGUAUGGAUAUACUAUCAACAACUUGAGGAGCAACGAACAAACACAAAGUUUGAUUGAUCACAGAAUUAAGGUAUGAGUGGCUAACCUAUGCAGUGUGGAGACCUGGUGUUAGACCACCUAUUCUUUCAGCAUCAUUGCUGAAUCCAGGUUCCCUUUCGCUAAUGCUAAAAUGGAUCCAAGGAUUAGAUCAGGAUACCUAUUUUCCUAGACUUCUUGGUUUCGGGUCAGGUGCUGAGGUUCUCUUUUUGUGCUCAAGGUACUCAAAUUUCCAUUGCUGCCAACUGAUGUCUGCUACUGCUGGAAGCUUCCACUACUAUCUGGUAUUGUUGGUUGCUGCUAAAGACUGCUGAUGGCAUCAUUUGUUACCGCUUUUACCGUUCUAGUAGCUAGCAGCGUAGCUGUUGCUAUACACUGUUAUUAUUAAUGCUCUUUACUGUUA